UACGUAGGGUGCGAGCGUUGCCCGGAUUUAUUGGGCGUAAAGGGCGCGUAGGCGGCCACGCACGUCCGUUGUGAAAUCGCCCGGCUCAACUGGGCGGGGUCAGCGGAUACGGUGUGGCUCGAGCAAGCUAGGGGGCAAUGGAAUUCCCGGUGUAGUGGUGGAAUGCGUAGAUAUCGGGAGGAACACCAGUGGCGAAGGCGG
rnacentral:rRNA from 1 species